rnacentral:tRNA from 1 species
UCCCUUGUAGCUCAGUUGGUAAAGAAUCUGCCUGCAAGAUAGGAGACCCUGGUUCAAUUCCUGGCUUUGGAA